GACGAACGCUGGCGGCGUGCUUAACACAUGCAAGUCGAACGGUAAGGCCCUUCGGGGUACACGAGUGGCGAACGGGUGAGUAACACGUGGGUGAUCUGCCCUGCACUUCGGGAUAAGCCUGGGAAACGGGGUCUAAUACCGGAUAGGACUCCGGACUGCAUGGUCUGGGGUGGAAAGCUUUUGCGGUGUGGGAUGGGCCCGCGGCCUAUCCGCUUGAUGGUGGGGUGAUGGCCUCACAAGGCGACGACGGGUAGCCGGCCUGGGAGGGUGACCGGCCACACUGGGACUGAGAUACGGCCCAGACUCCUACGGGAGGCAGCAGUGGGGAAUAUUGCACAAUGGGCGCAAGCCUGAUGCAGCGACGCCGCGUGAGGGAUGACGGCCUUCGGGUUGUAAACCUCUUUCAGCACAGACGAAGCGCAAGUGACGGUAUGUGCAGAAGAAGGACCGGCCAACUACGUGCCAGCAGCCGCCGUAA
rnacentral:rRNA from 1 species